rnacentral:rRNA from 1 species
UACAGAGGUGCCCAAGCGUUGUUCGGAUUCACUGGGCGUUAAAGGGGUGCGAGUAGGUGGUGAGGUAAGUCGGAUGUGAAAUCUCCGGGCUCAACCCGGAAAUGGCAUUGGAAAACUACCUUGCUGGAGGGUUUGAGGGGGGAAUUGGAAUGACUUGGUGUAGCAGUGAAAUGCGUGGAUAUCGAGAAGAACACUAACGGACGUAGGCAAGACUCUGGACA